AUUCCCGCCGCGCGCGGCGGGCGGGGCGGGGGCACGGGGGGCCUAGGGAGGCAGCAGUGAGGAAUAUUGGUCAAUGGGCGAGAGCCUGAACCAGCCAAGUAGCGUGCAGGAUGACGGCCCUAUGGGUUGUAAACUGCUUUUAUACGGGGAUAAAGUGAGGGACGUGUCCCUUUUUGUAGGUACCGUAUGAAUAAGGACCGGCUAAUUCCGUGCCAGCAGCCGCGGUAAUA
rnacentral:rRNA from 1 species